rnacentral:rRNA from 1 species
UACGGGGGGAGCAAGCGUUGUUCGGAUUUACUGGGCGUAAAGGGCGCGUAGGCGGCCAGCACAAGUCAGUUGUGAAAUCUCCGAGCUUAACUCGGAAAGGUCAACUGAUACUGUGCGGCUAGAGUGCGGAAGGGGCAACUGGAAUUCUUGGUGUAGCGGUGAAAUGCGUAGAUAUCAAGAGGAACACCUGCGGCGAAGGCGGCUCUCUGGUACGUGACUGACGCUGAGACGCGAAAGCGUGGGGAGCGAACAGG